rnacentral:lncRNA from 1 species
GGCAGCGGCGCUUCCUGCUAGGACCGGCCGGGGCCGUACCGGAGGCUCGGGCUCCACCGACCCUCCUCCCACCCCCUCCCACUCACCCUCUGGGCCGCGACUGCGCAGGGCGGGGCCGGCCGAACCAUGGGCCGCGGUGUGGGCUAAGCUGGUGGCCCCGGCUUUAGACUGGACCCCACAAUGUUUGCAGAGAUGUUCAGAGACGUUGUGAUGAUGCGACUGAGGAUUAUGCAACGUGGUCCAACCGGAGCGGCCAGCAUGACCAGCUGUCCAGGGGCUGCCUCCUGCCUUUUCUUUUGUAAAGACAAGACCCUUGGGAGUUUUAAUUCUGUUUUGUACUUGCCCUGUGGGGCCUCCACUGCUUUUCUAUGGGAGACACUCUUAAUUUAACAGAUGAGAAUAUUUUGAAACUCUG